GCGCCAAUGGAGUACGGCGUAGCAUCGCUGCUCGGAAAGCAGAGGGUGCGGGUUCGAAUCCCGCCUGGCGCG
rnacentral:tRNA from 1 species